UGGUGCGUGAUGAUUAUAAAAGAUAAUUCCUCGUUCUGAAUGCUAUAAUUGCAUGACAGACUCUUUAUACACCCAUAGAAUAUGAGCGCUC